rnacentral:lncRNA from 1 species
AAGGUUUUAAAUUGCGGUUGCGGUCGUGGAUGCGGUUGUGGUUGCAGGUGUUGCGAUUGCGGCUAAUGCAGACACUGCGAUGCAAUUGCGGCCGUUGCAGCGUGAAAUAAUUUUUUAUCCGCACAAACACAAAAAAAUACUAUAAUGAUUGUAAUUCCUUAUAUAUCUUUUACUUAUAAUUCUAUGUCAAUUUUAAUUCAUUUUUAAGACAUUAUGUCUUAUUUAUGAAUAAUAUAACCUUGACUCGAAUGGAAGAAACAUUAACAUAAAUAACAUUCAU